rnacentral:rRNA from 1 species
CAAAACAUGGCUUCUCGUUCUUAGUAUAUGUGAAGUCGUACCUGCCCAGUGAAAUUUUAACGGCCGCGGUACUCUGACCGUGCAAAGGUAGCAUAAUAAUUUGCCUUAUAAUUGAAGGCUGGAAUGAAUGGUUUGUCAAGGAUAAAACUGUCUCUAUAAAAUUCUAUAGAAUUUUAUUUUUAGGUGAAAAAGCCUAGGUAGCAUUAAAAGACAAGAAGACCCUAUCGAGCUUUAAAGAACUUAAUAAGUAUUUAUAACUAAUCAGAAAUUUAAUUAUAAAAAAUUUUGGUUGGGGCAACCUAGGAGCAAAUAAAGCCUCCUUUUUUAAAAAAACUAAUUUGUUAUGAUCCAAAAAUUUUGAUCAAAAGAAGUAGUUACCGUAGGGAUAACAGCAUAAUUUUUUUUGAGAGCUCUUAUCGAAAAAAAAGUUUGUGACCUCGAUGUUGGACCAGAAUAUCCUGAAGAUGUAGAAGUCUUCGAGGGUUGGUCUGUUCGACCAUUAAAAUUCUACGUGAUC